AUUGAACGCUGGCGGCAGGCCUAACACAUGCAAGUCGAGCGGAUGAAGGGAGCUUGCUCCUGGAUUCAGCGGCGGACGGGUGAGUAAUGCCUAGGAAUCUGCCUGGUAGUGGGGGAUAACGUCCGGAAACGGGCGCUAAUCCCGCAUACGUCCUGAGGGAGAAAGUGGGGGAUCUUCGGACCUCACGCUAUCAGAUGAGCCUAGGUCGGAUUAGCUAGUUGGUGGGGUAAAGGCCUACCAAGGCGACGAUCCGUAACUGGUCUGAGAGGAUGAUCAGUCACACUGGAACUGAGACACGGUCCAGACUCCUACGGGAGGCAGCAGUAGGGAAUAUUGGACAAUGGGCGAAAGCCUGAUCCAGCCAUGCCGCGUGUGUGAAGAAGGUCUUCGGAUUGUAAAGCACUUUAAGUUGGGAGGAAGGGCAGUAAGUUAAUACCUUGCUGUUUUGACGUUACCAACAGAAUAAGCACCGGCUAACUUCGUG
rnacentral:rRNA from 1 species